UACGUAGGGCGCAAGCGUUGUCCGGAAUUAUUGGGCGUAAAGAGCUCGUAGGCGGUUUGUCGCGUCUGCUGUGAAAACCUAAGGCUCAACCUUGGGCUUGCAGUGGGUACGGGCAGACUAGAGUGCGGUAGGGGGUGACUGGAAUUCCUGGUGUAGCGGUGGAAUGCGCAGAUAUCAGGAGGAACACCGAUGGCGAAGGCAGGUCACUGGGCCGCAACUGACGCUGAGGAAGCGGAAAGCAUGGGGGAGCGAACAGG
rnacentral:rRNA from 1 species